AUCCAGGAUUUUUGUUCGUGAUCCAAAGCAGCAAUGGUUUACAAUAUCUUACUGAGUAAUCCUCCUCAAGAUCAGAUGUUCCACAGGUGUGCAGAGGACAUCCCUCAAAGUCAUAAUGGCAGCUGCUUAUGAAGAGACAGAUGUAUCAUCGGAUUUAUAGUCACAACAGAAAGGGAAUAAGAAGUUUCAAAUUCCCAUCCAUUAUUCCCAUAAAAACUUUCAAUAAGAUUUGCUUAUUGACACUGCAGCUUUGAAGUGUCUCUGCGCUGGACCACUCUUCAGCCCCAGCCACACUGUGGUCUACAUCUCAGGCACCUCCAAGAUAUCCUCAGACAUUUGCAGAGUGCUGGUACGAUUUUUGUCAAAUAUGGCACACAAGUCAAAUAUGGCAAGAGCAGACAGGAUUGCCAUGCCUGCAAAGGAUCUGGGGCAAGGAAGUGGACUGAACCCGGAAGGGCUCAUGCGUAAAUAAAGGAAAAGUGUAUGUAUUCAUGAUCAGAGUAUUUUUCUUUAUUUUUGUGGUUUGAUUUGAACUGCUCUGUGUGAAUCUAUGCCUCCCCCAUCCACUAUCUAAGAGUUGUUCCCAGAUAUUUUCUGUUUUACUUUUGUACUUACUUUGUUUACUCUGCAACACCUAGCAAUCAAGUAUGCUUU